GUAUACCCGUCUCCUCCCGGUCUGCUCUCAGUGCUCACCAGGCACCACUGUAUACCAGCUCACCAGGCACCACUGUAUACCCGUCUCCUCCCGGUCUGCUCUCAGUGCUCACCAGGCACCACUGUAUACCAGCUCACCAGGCACCACUGUAUACCCUGUGCUCACCAGGCACCACUGUAUACCAGCUCAGCAGGCACCACUGUAUACCCGUCUCCUCCCGGUCUGCUCCUAGUGCUCACCAGGCACCACUGUAUACCAGCUCACCAGGCACCACUGUAUACCAGCUCACCAGGCACCACUGUAUACUCAGCAGGCACCACUGUAUACCCGUCUCCUCCCGGUCUGCUCUCAGUGCUCACCAGGCACCACUGUAUACCAGCUCACCAGGCACCACUGUAUACCAGCUCACCAGGCACCACUGUAUACCUGUCUCCUCCCGGGUCUGCUCUCUGUGCUCACCAGGCACCACUGUAUACCAGCUCACCAGGCACCACUGUAUACCCGUCUCCUCCCGGUCUGCUCUCUGUGCUCACCAGGCACCACUGUAUACCAGCCCUGCUUGAGCAGGGGAGAGAGCCUGGGUGGGAGGGCCAUGUCUGGGAGCAAGGGCAGCAGCCACCUGCCGUCCCGACACUGGGGUCUGUGAGUCAGGGCCAUGUGCCCAGCCCCAGGGUCACUCAGAGCCAGACCACCCAGGGCUGCAGAGGGCCUGGUGCCCAGUGUGCCUCUGCUCCGCCUCGGCGGCCCUUUAGCACUGGGGCAGCACUGACCUCGGGGCUCUGGGCCCCUUGGUUCUCAUUUGAGAAAUGGGAGAUUGGACUGGGGCAUGUGCCUUGGCCAGAGCACAUGGGCACAGAGAGGGCACCGCACGGCUGUCACCUGGGCCCAGGAACACAGGGAGGAGCAAGAGAAGGGAGAGGAUGAGAAGAGGACAAGGAGGGGGAAGGGAGGAGGAGGAGCAGCAGGAGGAGUACUGGGAGGAGGGGAGGAGGGAGAGCAGGAGGAGGAGGGAGAGCAGGAGGAGGAGGAGGGAGAGCAGGAGGAGGAGGAGGGAGAGCAGGAGGAGGAGGAGGGAGAGCAGGAGGAGGAGGAGGGAGAGCAGGAGGAGGAGGAGGGAGAGCAGGAGGAGGAGGAGGGAGAGCAGGAGGAGGAGGAGGGAGAGCAGGAGGANNNNNNNNNN
rnacentral:lncRNA from 1 species